rnacentral:rRNA from 1 species
UACGAAGGGUGCAAGCGUUACUCGGAAUUACUGGGCGUAAAGCGCACGUAGGCGGUUCGUUAAGUCGGAUGUGAAAGCCCUCGGCUCAACUGAGGAAGUGCACCCGAAACUGGCGAGCUUGAGUACGAAAGAGGAUCGCGGAAUUCCCGGUGUAGAGGUGAAAUUCGUAGAUAUCGGGAGGAACACCCGUGGCGAAGGCGGCACUCUGGGACGGUACUGACGCUGAGACGCGAAAGCGUGGGGAGCAAACAGG